rnacentral:rRNA from 1 species
CUUUCCCUCUUUCUUUCGGCCUAACACAUGCAAGUCGAACGGCAGCACAGUAAGAGCUUGCUCUUACGGGUGGCGAGUGGCGGACGGGUGAGGAAUACAUCGGAAUCUACUUUUUCGUGGGGGAUAACGUAGGGAAACUUACGCUAAUACCGCAUACGACCUACGGGUGAAAGCAGGGGAUCUUCGGACCUUGCGCGAUUGAAUGAGCCGAUGUCGGAUUAGCUAGUUGGCGGGGUAAAGGCCCACCAAGGCGACGAUCCGUAGCUGGUCUGAGAGGAUGAUCAGCCACACUGGAACUGAGACACGGUCCAGACUCCUACGGGAGGCAGCAGUGGGGAAUAUUGGACAAUGGGCGCAAGCCUGAUCCAGCCAUACCGCGUGGGUGAAGAAGGCCUUCGGGUUGUAAAGCCCUUUUGUUGGGAAAGAAAAGCAGCAGGUUAAUACCCCGCUGUUCUGACGGUACCCAAAGAAUAAGCACCGGCUAACUUCGUG